rnacentral:pre_miRNA from 1 species
ACCUUUGGAUGGCUCGUGACCGGUGGCAAUAUUUAAAUAUAUUAUAUAAUAUUGCACUUGUCCCGGCCUAUCUGGAGUGG